CAAGUCGAGCGCCCCGCAAGGGGAGCGGCAGACGGGUGAGUAACGCGUGGGAAUCUACCCUUCACUACGGAACAACUCCGGGAAACUGGAGCUAAUACCGUAUACGUCCUUCGGGAGAAAGAUUUAUCGGUGAUGGAUGAGCCCGCGUUGGAUUAGCUAGUUGGUGGGGUAAUGGCCUACCAAGGCAACGAUCCAUAGCUGGUCUGAGAGGAUGAUCAGCCACACUGGGACUGAGACACGGCCCAGACUCCUACGGGAGGCAGCAGUGGGGAAUAUUGGACAAUGGGCGAAAGCCUGAUCCAGCCAUGCCGCGUGAGUGAUGAAGGCCCUAGGGUUGUAAAGCUCUUUCACCGGUGAAGAUAAUGACGGUAACCGGAGAAGAAGCCCCGGCUAACUUCGUGCCAGCAGCCGCGGUAAUACGAAGGGGGCUAGCGUUGUUCGGAAUUACUGGGCGUAAAGCGCACGUAGGCGGACUAUUAAGUCAGGGGUGAAAUCCCGGGGCUCAACCCCGGAACUGCCUUUGAUACUGGUAGUCUCGAGUCC
rnacentral:rRNA from 1 species